rnacentral:rRNA from 1 species
ACGACCAUACCACAUUGAAAACACCGGUUCUCGUCCGAUCACAGAAGUUAAGCAAUGUUGGGCCCGGUCAGUACUUGGGAGGGUGACCACCUGGGAACACCGAGUGUAGUUGAUU